rnacentral:rRNA from 1 species
AUGGCGACCGGCGCACGGGUGAGUAACACGUAUCCAACCUGCCGAUAACUCGGGGAUAGCCUUUCGAAAGAAAGAUUAAUACCCGAUGGUAUAAUCAGACCGCAUGGUUUGAUUAUUAAAGAAUUUCGGUUAUCGAUGGGGAUGCGUUCCAUUAGGCAGUUGGUGAGGUAACGGCUCACCAAGACUACGAUGGAUAGGGGUUCUGAGAGGAAGGUCCCCCACAUUGGAACUGAGACACGGUCCAA